GACGAACGCUGGCGGCGUGCUUAACACAUGCAAGUCGAACGCGCCUGUCCUCUGGGUUUCUGGGGGGUGGGUGAGUGGCGAACGGGUGAGUAACACGUGAGUAACCUGCCCCCUUCUUCGGGAUAACGGUCUGAAAGGGCUGCUAAUACCGGGUAUUCACUGGUCUCCGCAUGGGGUCUGGUGGAAAGGUUUUUUUCUGGUGGGGGAUGGGCUCGCGGCCUAUCAGCUUGUUGGUGGGGUGAUGGCCCACCAAGGCUUUGACGGGUAGCCGGCCUGAGAGGGUGACCGGUCACAUUGGGACUAAGAUACGGCCCAGACUCCUACGGGAGGCAGCAGUGGGGAAUAUUGCACAAUGGGCGCAAGCCUGAUGCAGCGACGCCGCGUGAGGGAUGGAGGCCUUCGGGUUGUGAACCUCUUUCGCCCGUGGUCAAGCCGCGACGUGGGUCGUGGUGAGGGUAGUGGGUAAAGAAGCGCCGGCUAACUACGUG
rnacentral:rRNA from 1 species